AAUCAACGCUGGCGGCGUGCCUAACACAUGCAAGUCGAACGCGAAAGGGGCUUCGGCCCUGAGUAGAGUGGCAAACGGGUGAGUAACGCGUGGGUGACCUACCCCUGAGCGGGGGAGUAACGUUUCGUAAGGGACGGCUAAUACCGCAUGACAUCCUGCCCUUCGGACGGGGCGGGUGGAUCAAAGACCGGGGGAGUCGCAAGACCUGGCACUCGAGGAGGGGCCCGGCGUCCGAUUAGCUAGUUGGUGGGGUAACGGCUCACCAAGGCUCCGAUCGGUAGCCGGCCUGAGAGGGCGGACGGCCACACUGGGACUGAGACACGGCCCAGACUCCUACGGGAGGCAGCAGUGGGGAAUUGUUCGCAAUGGGCGCAAGCCUGACGACGCAACGCCGCGUGGAGGAUGAAGAUUUUCGGAUCGUAAACUCCUGUCGAACGGGACGAACGGCCUGGCCGUGAACAACGGCCGGGAGUGACGGUACCGAGAGAGGAAGCCCCGGCUAACUCCGUGCCAGCAGCCGCGGUAAUGUCGAUA
rnacentral:rRNA from 1 species